GUGGAUUGUAUUGUGGCCAUAAAUGUGGUGUGGGAUGGCUCUAUGGCAUCAACCUUUUGUUUGGUUGAAAUCACUUUUGUUAUGAAAGAGAAUAGGAUUCCAGACCCAAAAAAAAAAAAAAAAAAAAGAACAAGAGGAAGAGUAGUACAACACACUGCACUACAAAGCCAAGAACGCAGCCUCCAAAACAGUGAGACUACUAAAACAACUAAGAAAACAAGCUUCUGUUAAUAAAAAGGCAACACCGCCUCUUUCUCAUUAUUGUAGCAUCAUAACAAGUCUUGAAUUUUGGCCGAUGGGCGAUUCUUUCUUAGUGUUUAUUAGAAUUCCUUUUUCUUUUUCUUUUAUUUUUUUUUCUGAAAAUUAGCGAUAAUUGUAUUCAAUAAUUGGAGAUAAAAACCAAAUACUCAUAAAGGGUUAAUACAAAGAUGGAUCUACAGUAACAACAAAGGGUUAAAUCCAAUAUAGGAGGAUGUUGUGUGGAAACACUCCAAGACCUUGUUGUUGAUGGACUAUACGAUGGCACACACACAAUCCCAUUUGAGAAUAAAACACACACACACACAGAAGACAGAACGCAAGCACACAAGAAAACAAAGAUUUUAUAGAGGUUCGACAUCGUCCCUGUGUCCUCAUGGUGAUCUACUCGAGAAAUUCACUAGUAUGUAAGAACUACUUUGGUUACAACUUAAACCCCCUUAGUUCUCACAAGAACCCUAGCUCUCUUUUCUCUCACCCUUUGCUCAAACCCUUUGAUGCCCUUGUAAACACUCAAAAAUUCAACCUUGAAUUAUCUCUUAUAUUUCUCCCUUAAAAAUUCACUCUUGAAUUCUCCUAUCUUACUAUUGACCUAGCCCCUAAAAGUCCUAUUUAUAGAUCAUAGGACUUUAGUACACUUGUAUUAGGAGUAGGAGACUUAACCCUAGUCAAACUAGGCCCAAAACAUGCCUAAAACCCGUAGGAAAACCGAAACAGAUCGAACUUCAAAACACGUGAUGACCGGUCUCUUUAUGCAAAACCUCCAGACUUCAUCUCGGCUUCCAAGUGACCAGUUGUUUCCAAUAACUCCUCACGAUCUUCUUCUCGGCACCUGCCCCACGACUCCAACCUUGCAUCAAAGGCAAGCCAACUUCAACAGACGAUAUACUGGCGACAUCUAAAAACUUGUAUUUCCACUAAUAGUCUUUGAGAACCAAAUACAUUUCAACAUA
rnacentral:lncRNA from 1 species